GCCAGCACCCUGUCAAUGCCCACAGCCCGCACCGUAGAAGGUACCUGAGGGAACAAAGUGGCAAAGAAUUCACCGGAAAAUGACAUUCGAGUACUUCACAGGAAGGGUUGUUACCUGUAGUAACAGUCUCUCGUCGCCCUCGAUGACUGCCUGGUUCCACUGGAUGGCAUCAGAGAAGGGUCAUCCAUGUGUGGGUAGAACCGUUACAACGCUGAAAGAACCCAAUGUUCCCCAUCAGCCCAGCAGAACAAGUC